rnacentral:rRNA from 1 species
UAAGAAGUCCUGCCUGCCCCGUGACUAUUAGUUUAACGGCCGCGGUAUUUUGACCGUGCAAAGGUAGCGCAAUCACUUGUCUUUUAAAUAGAGACCUGUAUGAAUGGCAAAACGAGGGUUUGACUGUCUCCUCUUUCUAACCAGUGAAAUUGAUCUUCCCGUGCAGAAGCGGGAAUAAAACCAUAAGACGAGAAGACCCUGUGGAGCUUUAGACAAAAGACAGUUCAUGUUAAAACAACCCAAUUAAGGGCCUAAACCAAUUGAAGCCUGUCCAAAUGUCUUUGGUUGGGGCGACCACGGGGAAACAAAAAACCCCCAAGCGGAAUAAAGGUACCACCUUUCAAAACUAAGAGCCACUGCUCCAGUUAACAGAAAUUCUGACCUACAGAUCCGGACUUACCGAUUAACGAACCGAGUUACCCUAGGGAUAACAGCGCAAUCUCCUUAUAGAGCCCUUAUCGACAAGGAGGUUUACGACCUCGAUGUUGGAUCAGGACAUCCUAAUGGUGCAGCCGCUAUUAAGGGUUCGUUUGUUCAACGAUUAAUAGUCCU